rnacentral:lncRNA from 1 species
CAUCAACCCUUUACAGGUCUUGCGUUAUCUUGUUGUGUUAUAUAUUACGAUUAUAUAACCUAGAUAUUUACACGCCAUCAAAGGGACUAUCAUGGAAAUACAUAUAUAAUAUUUCGUACUAUUAAUUAAUUUAACUUAUUUUACACAUGUGCUGUGACUUUGAAGCCUAAAGUGAUUGUGGUGUCGAUCGUCGAUCGAGGUGUCAAAAAAUGUCGUGUGGUAUCCUGCAAUGGUUGUAUGUCAGAUUGUUCUCUGUUAUUCGACCAAAAGGAAGCACUCCUUUGCCAAGUGGUGUUAUAAUAGCGUUAUUUGUUAGCAUGGUAAGGUAGAUGAUAAUAUAUUGCCAGAUUAAUUUAUAGAACAGAGAUUAUGUGUAAAGUGAAAUGUAUAAAUAAAGUGUCACGACAUUACUGUAAUAGGCUUAAGCCCCGUUUACACUACGCUCAAUUUUUGGUACAGCACGGAUAAAAUUGAUAACUAUUAGAUAGUCCAAGAACCAAAAAAUGGUAUAGUACCAAAAAUUAAGCGUAGUGUAAACGGGGCUUAGCUAAAUAGGUAGUCCAAGAACCAAAAAAGUGGUACGGGUACCAAUUUUAUCCGUGCCGUACCAAAAAUUGAGCGUACUGUAAACGGGGCUUUAAUGUUGCAAAUUAUGGCUUUAAUGUUGCAAAUUAUGGCAUUAUGCCCUGUCUAUAAAAUAUAGAGUUUCAUUUGCUUAGUUUAUAGCUCGAUCAUCAAUGGUUCCAUUGUUAUGAAAUUAUUGUUUAAUACAGCUUUGUUUUACACAUGAGUGACUCGGUAAUUAUCAUCGAAUUAAUUAAUUAAUUUUUAUAGUAUAAGGACUAUAAGAAAUUAUUGCGGGAGGUCCGGGAGGGGGAGGCAGUUGGCCCUCCUAGUUUCUGCCAUUGUCAACAAAUUUCUUAUAAUCUUUUAUAGUUUGGAAAUGGAAUUGCAAUGCAAAUGGUGUUUGCUUUCCUGCCUGAUAUGGUGAAGGUACACUAAUUAUCCAAUACAUGUUGCUAGGGUGUUUUUUGUUGUUUUCUUGUUUUAUAUACGGCUUAGUUUCAUCCAAAAUGUUAAUACAUUUUAGAGUUUUGGGAUUGCCGAUGAAGAUGCAGGUUAGCAUUUUAGCAGUUUUAAUGUAUUAAUUCAGUUAAUUAUGUUAUUUUGAUGAAAUGAUCUAGCUGUAUCUGAUACUCAUCUAAUAAUAAUUUAUACUGCACAUUUCUUUGUUGUUUUUUAAGGUUAUUAUGUGGGGAUGCUUGCAUCUGCAGUAUUUUUAGGCAGAUUUGUUUCGAGGUAAUUAUUUAAUUGUGGUUGUUGAAAAAGAUGAUUACCAAUCCCGAAUGAAAUUAUUGCAUAAAAAUCUAAAAAGUAUUGAAACCUAUUUACCCAGAUUUAGAAUGUAUUGAAACCACAGGCAAUUUGAGUGGGGGGGGGGUAUGAACGUGGGUCCCUACUCCCUGGACGAUAACAAGUUGUUGGAGCAACUUGCACCAUAGCAAGUCUGUCAAGCUCAACCACCUUGUAGCAAGCAGUCCGGUUUGUGGCUGUCGGUUUGGGGGGGAUGCUUUAUGCCGAGGUCUAGGUGAAUUUUAAUUGUUAACUUUGAUUCCUUCUUCCAGCUACUUCUGGGGCUGGCUUGCAGAUAAAGUUGGCAGACGACAAGUUCUAUUAUGGACUACCUCCAUGCUGGGUGUUGUAAGCAUAGCAUUUGGUUUUGCAAGAUCAUUUGAAGUUGCUCUUGUUAUUAGAUUUAUUACUGGCAUGGUUGCAGGUGUGUAAGUUACAAUGGAAGAACUUAAAAAGUCUGACCGUGGCUGCUUUUCUAAUUUUAACAAGUUCCAAUUUUAUAGGCAUACCUGGAACAGUCAAGGCAUCUUUGGCAGAAGUAUGUGAUGAUUCAAACCAGGUUAGAUUGCUCUUGUUUUGAUGUUUGUGAUGUUACUCUGAGUGUAUAUCCACACUGGGCAAGCUUGCUCUGCUAACUGAGCUAUGCGGUCAGGUUGGUUCGAAUAUGUGAUAUUUCGGAACUGAGUCUAGUUCCUUUGAUAUCAAUGCAAUCUAGUAAUCAUGAUAUUUUUUUUCUGUGUUGGUGUUAUGUGCUCAGGUAUCAUAUUCACCUGAGUACACAACACCAACACAGAAAAUAUCAUUACUCUUGUUUUGUUUGUUUGAAAAAUCUCUGUUGAAAUUUUAUAAACCCAUAAUUAUUAGCUGCAAUGCACCAAACUUUAUUAUUGCAUUUGUGAUUCUGUCUAUUGCCAGAUGAUUUUACUCGAUCAUCAAAGGGAGCUCCUAUAGUCUUGCACUUUAAAUGGGUUAAUUAAUUAGAUAAUUUUUCCAACUUUUUAUAAGCUUGUAUUUGCCAUUUUCCCUACAGGCAUUAGGAAUGUCAGUAGUGGUGACUGCGUGGAAUACUGGACUCAUCAUUGGUCCAGCUGUAGGAGGUAAGCUGUUUAAUUAACGCUAAACUUGUCUUAUGUUUAUAACAAUUUAUUUCAGAAUUCUGGUAGCUCAUCUGGUCAGUCUCCCCAAGGGAGCCAUAUGUCCUGUUGAUGACAUCCUUUCUCAUCUCUUUACUACUAGGUUACCUUGCAAAUCCAGUUGAAAAAUAUUCUGUAUUUAAAGAGAGUAAGUAAAAUUCUUUGAGUAUAAGUUUAAGCCAGUCUGGAAUAAGCCAUAUGAGUCUUAGGUUGUCUCAAGUCAAUAAUUAAGGCCAGGCCAAAGUAUUGAUCUUUCCACAUACUGUUUAUACAAUUAAUAAUCACAGAGGAACCAUGCAAGGCAGGAUCAAACUUUAUUUACAAGUGCAAAAUGUAGGCCAAAGCAAGGCUCAGGCCAGACCAAUGUUUACAGUAUAAACACUGCUAAGCAAUCUGUAUGUAUAUCCUAACUCAACUGUUAUUCUUAUUAUAACGGAGGAGACAUAGACUACAUUUUAUUUCAGCUGUAGUAAAAUGUUUCAUCUUCCUCCAAUAAAAAGUGGCACAAGUUAAAAAAAGAUUUGCUGGUUUUCCUUGAAGCAAUGUUACAAAACCAUUACACUGUGCCAACAAUGAACUUGAAAGUUUAUAAUUUUCCCUGCAAUUAAUCUAUUUUCAGGUUCUUUUUUUGAAAACUUUGCCUACCUAUUCCCAUGUCUGGUGAAUGCAGCAAUUUGCUUCUGCAGUUUUCUCCUGGUAUUUUUUAUCUUGCCUGAAACAUUAGCUUCUAAACGGUAUGUGCGCGCCUCACAUUUGCGAGUCAGGGAUUCGAUUCAAUAUCCAGUACGUUGUCUGAUUAUAAUUUCACCUCAGUUGCAUGCGAGAGGAGUGCUAGCUUCCAGUUUAAUUCUACCAAAGACGAGGUACGGUUUUCUCUAGGUACAGUACUCUAGUUUUUCCUCCUGUAGUAACACUGGAUCAAUAAAGGAUGAUCCUUACUGGAUCUCUAAGGAGAACAGUUUAGAAGUGAUAUAGUGUUAGAGCUAUCUAGUAUAAAUAAAGUUAGUUUAGUUUAGGUUUCCUCCUGUAGUAACACUGGAUCAAUAAGAGAUGACCCUUACUGGACCUCUAGGAAGAACAGUUUAGAACUGAUAGAGCUAUCCAGUAUAAAUAAAGUUAGUUUAGUUUAGGUUUCCUCCUGUAGUAACACUGGAUCAAUAAGAGAUGAUCCUUACUGGACCUCUAGGAAGAACAGUUUAGAACUGAUAGAGCUAUCCAGUAUAAAUAAAGUUACUUUAGUUAAGGUUUCCUCCUGUAGUAACACUGGAUCAAUAAGAGAUGAUCCUUACUGCACCUCUAGGAAGAACAGUUUAGAACUGAUACAGCUAUCCAGUAUAAAUAAAGUUAGUUUAGUUGAGGUUUCCUCCUGUAGUAUUAACACUGGACUGAUAAAGGAUGACCCUUACUGGACCUAAGGAGAACACUUUAGAACUGAUAGAGCUAUCCAAUGUAAAUAAAGUCAGGCUAAUACGUUUAGUUGACCAGCGAAAAGCGAAAAAGAAGUUGUUGAUUUUAACAAUCUCUUUCUUCUUUUAAAAGAAAGACGAAAGACAAAGAAAUACCAGCAUCGAUUAUUAACCCAGAAACGGAAAUUCACAAAACUCCACAAGCUUCUUCAAACAGACAACGGUCAACGCCGAAAACAAGUCAGAUUGAUCUACGGAACGGCUGUCAGUCAGGACAACAAGAUGAGGACUCCACCAUCCAAAGGUCACUCCCAAAAAGUACAGAAAUGUUGUUACUGUCCGGAUCUGUGUCCUUCUUACCCGAAAUAUAUCUGCAAAGCUAUCCUGGUUCCAUGGUUAAAGUUGAUAAUGCGAAAGAGGAGCCAUAUGUGCCUACCGUGGGAAAAGCUAAGCCUGGAGUAUUAAGAAAAACGUAUAAAUCAAUGAAACAAAGUAACCUGGCAAAACUUUGUAGGUAUGGGUUAUUAUAAACCUGCAGCUUUCGUUGGCAAAUGCCUGAAAAAUAUAAGGAGACGAGUCCAUUUUUAAACUGACUUAAUUAAGUUAGGUGGAUUAAAUAAUCAGAGCCCUGGUCAUAUGUAGAUACUUAUAUAAGCUCACAUUGUUGGGUUUGGUUUUCUUACAGAAAUAAAGACGUGAGAUAUUGUAUUGGUCUAUAUAGUGUAUUUGCGUUUGCUGUGGUAGCCGAUCAUGAAAUGUACAGUUUGUGGGCGGCAACUGGACAACAAUUCGGUGAGUUCUUAGAGUUAACUAACUGCUCUUGGAGUUAACUACUGUAACUUUGUUUCAAACCCUAGAGUUUCGGUAAGGACCAUUCUUCAUAUUGGUGCUACAGAAGGAGUGCCUGGAGAAAUCUGAGAAGUAUGUUUGUGAUGUUGCUCUGAAACGUUUGCUUGACCGCGCUGGGAAUCGAAUCCGGUGUGGGCACACUCAUGCAGAGUAACAUCACAAACAUAUAUCUUUGCAUGAGUGCCCAACACCAGGAACAAGAAUUCAAGAUCAUAAAAACACACUGAUGUCGAAGGAACUAGGACUGAGUUCCGAUAUAACACCGACUCGAACCGAGUUACCUCGUAGCUCAGUUGGUAACAAACUGGUAGCAAAGUUGGUAGCAUUGGACUAGCAAACCAGCAUUGCCCAUUGUGGAUACACUCAGAGACAACCUCACAAACAUAUUUCCUUCAUCUGAGUGCAGAACACCAGAAACAAAAAUUGAAAAUCUGAGAAAGUCAUGCAAUUGAACUGAGGCAGGUUUAUAGGUUUAUAAUGAAUCAAUUGCAUGAAUGAAACCCAAUCAGAAAGGUGAAACAAACAUGUACUAACCACUGUUUCGCUCCACAGGUGGCCUUGAUUUUAGCACAGAUGAUCUUGGAUUUACUUUAAUGGUCGUAGGGAUUGGCUGUGCUAUUUCCAACUGUAUUGUUUUCCCACAGGUGAUUUACUAUACGCAUAGUUAAUAGAAAACAAUACUAUGGUGCAACUGUAGUGAUGACAUCACCUUCUUGCAGGCCUUAAAAUAUCUUUUCCAGGGCCGUCUGACAAAAUGUCCGGUGACGUUGAGUUUGGGUCGGACAUAUGUCCGAUGACCUUCAGUUCAUUUUUGACUCGGAAAUAAGUCUGAAUGACACAAAUGAAUAAAUGGUAAAUGUUGUAAAGAUAUUAAAUAAUUUGUUUCUUUCAUACUUAUUUCCAAGCCAAAAUUAACUUGCUUGCCAGAACAGCAGUGUUAAAAAGACUUCGACAACUUAAGCCCGUUUUCCACUUCACUAUUUCGCUCGCCGCCCCGCGCUCUACUGCGUUAAAACUACAUUUCCAGUUGACCUUUUAUACAAUAGUACUCUGAUUUUCCAUUUAACAUAGAAGUCUGCCUCUAGUCCUGGCCUCCUGGGCUAGAGUACAUUUUGAUUUACGUCGGACAAAGCUACAGUUCGGUCGGACACCAAUACACUCGGGUCGGACAAACAAUAAACCUCAGUUUCACUUAGGUCGGACAGAAUGUCCGGUGGUUUCUUUUCUACGUCGGACAAUUUCACGAGUGGGUCGGACAAUGUCCGUGACCGACCGAUAUUUUAAGGCCUGUCUUGGACUCCCCCCCAACCCAUGGGGACGCAUGGGGAGAAUAAGAAUAAUGGCAUCGAACCUGCAGCUCUGCGAUUCCGGUGCAGCGCUCUAACCAAAUGAUAAAGUUAACAGAAUCCCAGAGCCGCAGGUUCGAUUCCUGCAAGAGGGCCUAUAGUUGCAUUUUUCACAACUGUUCCAGGUUAGAUGUAAUAAAUCCAAUAAUAUAAAACUUUGCCCAACAGACGUUUUAAAAUGGUUACAUUUCUUUUCUUUAUACUAGAUGGUAAAAGUCUUUGGACUCAUGAAGGUACUGUAGUUACAUCAUUGAAGUAAAUUCUUUCACGGUAGCACUAGCUGAUAUCAAAGUGAGCAUGAAAGUAAAUUCUUUCAUUAGUUGGGCUAUAUGACAUUCAAGCAUACAUCAUGCGUUGACAGACAGGAAUUUUAUUCCGGUACAUUGCCUACGUACUAAUGCAAAGAUUUUCUACUUCCAGACCCAGUUUAUCACGUUGACUACGAUGAUGUUCUUCAUAAUUGUACUUCCUGCUGCCAAUAGUCUUUAUGGCAGGUUGGUGGAAAUGAACUAACUUUAUUUAUACUGGAUAUUUUUUAUCAGUUCUAAAACUAAACUGUUCUCUCUGGAGGGCCAGUAAGGAUCAUCUCUUAUUGAUCCAGUGUUACUACGGGAGGAAACCUAAACUAAACUAACUUUAUUUAUACUGGAUAACUCUAUCAGUUCUAAACUGUUCUCUCUGGAGGUCCAUAAGUUCUAAACUGUUCUUCCUGGAGGUCUAGUAAUGAUCAUCUCUUACUGGUUCAGUGUUACUACAGGAAGAAACCGGAGUACCCCACUAGAAAACCUAUUUGCCCGUGUUUGGUAGAGUCAAACUGGAAGCACUCUUCUCACAUGCGACUGAAGUUCCGUUUUCUAAUUUUCUCUGGGUUGUUUCUGUUUAGAGGUGUAAGUUUGACGGCUACGGUCAUCGUUCUUGUCUUAGUGAGUAGAAUUUGUGCGGGAUGCUGUUUUACUGGACAAUUCAUCAUGAUUGGUAAUUGUGUACCCUCGCAUUUAAGAGCGACUGUUCACGGGUUGUCUAUGAGUGCGUCUUGUGCUGCUAGGUUAGUAUGGUUGCAAGUAUCUGCCUUUAUUGGAUAGCUCUAUCAGUUCUAAACUGUUCUCCUUAGAGGUCCAGUAAGAGUCGUGUCUUAUUGAUCCAGUGUUACUGAAGGAGGAAACCUAAACUAAACUAACUCAGUUAUACUGGAUAGCUUUAUCAGUCGUAAACAGUUCUCCGUGGAGAUCCAGUAAGGAUCAUCUCUUAUUGAUCCAGUGUUACUACAGGAGGAAACCUAAACUAAACUAACUUUAUUUAUACUGGGUAGCUCUAUCAGUUCUAAACUGUUCUCCUUAGAGGUCCAGUAAGAGUCGUGUCUUAUUGAUCCAGUGUUACUGAAGGAGGAAACCUAAACUAAACUAACUCAGUUAUACUGGAUAGCUUUAUCAGUCGUAAACAGUUCUCCGUGGAGAUCCAGUAAGGAUCAUCUCUUAUUGAUCCAGUGUUACUACAGGAGGAAACCUAAACUAAACUAACUUUAUUUAUACUGGGUAGCUCUAUCAGUUCUAAACUGUUCUCCUUAGAGGUCCAGUAAGAGUCGUGUCUUAUUGAUCCAGUGUUACUGAAGGAGGAAACCUAAACUAAACUAACUCAGUUAUACUAGAUAGCUUUAUCAGUCGUAAACAGUUCUCCGUGGAGAUCCAGUAAGGAUCAUCUCUUAUUGAUCCAGUGUUACUACAGGAGGAAACCUAAACUAAACUAACUUUAUUUAUACUGGGUAGCUCUAUCAGUUCUAAACUGUUCUCCUUAGAGGUCCAGUAAGGAUCAUCUCUUAUUGAUCCAGUGUUACUACAGGAGGAAACCUAAACAAAACUAACUUUAUUUAUACUGGAUAGCUCUAUCAGUUCUAAACUGUUCUCCCUAGAGGGUUCAGUAAGGAUCAUCUCUUAUUGAUCCAGUGUUACUACAGGAGGAAACCUAAACUAAACUAACUUUAUUUAUACUGGGUAGCUCUAUCAGUUCUAAACUGUUCUCCUUAGAGGUCCAGUAAGAGUCGUGUCUUAUUGAUCCAGUGUUACUGAAGGAGGAAACCUAAACUAAACUAACUCAGUUAUACUGGAUAGCUUUAUCAGUCGUAAACAGUUCUCCGUGGAGAUCCAGUAAGGAUCAUCUCUUAUUGAUCCAGUGUUACUACAGGAGGAAACCUAAACUAAACUAACUUUAUUUAUACUGGGUAGCUCUAUCAGUUCUAAACUGUUCUCGCUAGAGGUCCAGUAAGGAUCAUCUCUUAUUGAUCCAGUGUUACUAUAGGAGGAAACCUAAACAAAACUAACUUUAUUUAUACUGGAUAGCUCUAUCAGUUCUAAACUGCAUGUUCUCCGUAGAGGUCCAGUAGAGGUCCAGUAAGGGUCAUCUCUUAUUGAUGCAUGGAAACCUAAACUAAACUAACUUUAUUUAUACUGGAUAAAACACAAAACAUAUUGUUUUGUGUUUUAUUAGAAUACUCUAUGGCAACCGCAAUUUUUAUGUUGGAUAUCUCUAUCAGUUGUAAACUGUUCUCCCUAGAGGUCCGGUUAGGGCUAUGCAUCCUUAUUAUUGGGCCAGUGUGGUAGCUCCUAGAGAAACAGAUGCGUCAGUAAGACAAUAUAUUGUAUUAAUUCUCCUUUUCCAGAACUGUUUCUCCAACCGUGGCGGGCAGUAUGUUCUCAUGGUCCAUCACAUCUGGUUUAGGGUUCCCAUUCAACGAAAAAUUCGUAUUUAUAUUUAUUGGAUUUGUAACCUGGCUUGCGUUGGUCGUUGCCUGUUGCUUAGACGAGGAAGCUGUUACUAAACGGUCCACGAAGUGCGUUUUUAGUGACGACGACGAGCAGACGAGGAUCUGACCUCUAGAGGGCACUUACUAGUUACUACCUUCCCCAGCGAGUGAAGUCGAGCGAAAUCUAAAUCUCAAAUUAAUAAUUCAUGAGUACAUUGGCCAACCAUAUUGCUGUAUUUUGCUCGCAUGAUAAUACUAACGGUUCUCCACCGAAAAAACAAACGCUUGUUUUUUGAGUAAAAUUCAAUAUUUUCAUACAUUACUCUACAUAUACUGUUUUCAAAUUCAUCAAUUGAAUUCACACGCUUUUUAAUAUUUACGUGUAAUGUUAAAAAAAAAUAAUAAAUACAUCAUUAUAUAUAUUAGAUUAUAUACAGCAGAAUAUAUAUGUAUAGAG